rnacentral:rRNA from 1 species
AUACGUAGGGGGCGAGCGUUGUCCGGAAUGAUUGGGCGUAAAGGGCGCGUAGGCGGCCCGGUAAGUCUGGAGUGAAAGUCCUGCUUUCAAGGUGGGAAUUGCUUUGGAUACUGCCGCGCUUGAGUGCAGGAGAGGUUAUCGGAAUUCCCGGUGUAGCGGUGAAAUGCGUAGAGAUCGGGAGGAACACCAGUGGCGAAGGCGGGUAACUGGACUGCAACUGACGCUGAGGCGCGAAAGUGUGGGGAGCAAACAGGAUUAGAUACCCUGGUAGUCCACACUGUAAACGAUGAAUGCUAGGUGUAAGAGGUAUCGACCCCUUUUGUGCCGGAGUCAACACAAUAAGCGUUCCGCCUGGGGAGUACGGCCGCAAGGUUGAAACUCAAAUGAAUUGACGGGG